UUGAACGCUGGCGGCAGGCCUAACACAUGCCAGUCGCACGGUAACAGGGAUCAGCUUGCUGAUUCGCUGACGAGUGGCGGCCGGGUGAGUAAUGUCUGGGAAACUGCCUGAUGGAGGGGGAUAACUACUGGAAACGGUAGCUAAUACCGCAUAACGUCGCAAGACCAAAGAGGGGGACCUUCGGGCCUCUUGCCAUCGGAUGUGCCCAGAUGGGAUUAGCUAGUAGGUGGGGUAACGGCUCACCUAGGCGACGAUCCCUAGCUGGUCUGAGAGGAUGACCAGCCACACUGGAACUGAGACACGGUCCAGACUCCUACGGGAGGCAGCAGUGGGGAAUAUUGCACAAUGGGCGCAAGCCUGAUGCAGCCAUGCCGCGUGUAUGAAGAAGGCCUUCGGGUUGUAAAGUACUUUCAGCGGGGAGGAAGGGAGUAAAGUUAAUACCUUUGCUCAUUGACGUUACCCGCAGAAGAAGCACCGGCUAACUCCGUG
rnacentral:rRNA from 1 species